rnacentral:rRNA from 1 species
ACGGGUGAGUAACGCGUGGGAAUCUACCGUGCCCUGCGGAAUAGCUCCGGGAAACUGGAAUUAAUACCGCAUACGCCCUACGGGGGAAAGAUUUAUCGGGGUAUGAUGAGCCCGCGUUGGAUUAGCUAGUUGGUGGGGUAAAGGCCUACCAAGGCGACGAUCCAUAGCUGGUCUGAGAGGAUGAUCAGCCACAUUGGGACUGAGACACGGCCCAAACUCCUACGGGAGGCAGCAGUGGGGAAUAUUGGACAAUGGGCGCAAGCCUGAUCCAGCCAUGCCGCGUGAGUGAUGAAGGCCUUAGGGUUGUAAAGCUCUUUCACCGGAGAAGAUAAUGACGGUAUCCGGAGAAGAAGCCCCGGCUAACUUCGUGCCAGCAGCCGCGGUAAUACGAAGGGGGCUAGCGUUGUUCGGAAUUACUGGGCGUAAAGCGCACGUAGGCGGAUAUUUAAGUCAGGGGUGAAAUCCCAGAGCUCAACUCUGGACGGCCCUUUGAUACUGGGUAUCUUGAGUAUGGAAGAGGUAAGUGGAAUUCCGAGUGUAGAGGUGAAAUUCGUAGA